UACGAAGGGGGCUAGCGUUGCUCGGAAUCACUGGGCGUAAAGCGCACGUAGGCGGAUUGUUAAGUCAGGGGUGAAAUCCUGGAGCUCAACUCCAGAACUGCCUUUGAUACUGGCGAUCUUGAGUCCGGGAGAGGUGAGUGGAACUGCGAGUGUAGAGGUGAAAUUCGUAGAUAUUCGCAAGAACACCAGUGGCGAAGGCGGCUCACUGGCCCGGUACUGACGCUGAGGUGCGAAAGCGGUGGGGAGCAACAGG
rnacentral:rRNA from 1 species